UCUUAGGACCCUGAGAUCAUGACCUGAGCUGAAGAAGAUGCUUAACUGACUGAGCCACCCAGAUGCCCCACCACCAGACCAUCUUGAAGACAGGAUCUUUCAACUUUUUUAGCUGCUUCUUCAGGUAUUUCUAGAAAUUGGGAGAUAUUUCCCAUGAAAUCUGAAAGUUAUCCCAGCAUCAUCGAAUGGGAAAAUAUGGAUAGAACCCAUAGAAGAUGAUACACAAUAUCAUUCCAGUAUUUUAAAGCAAGUGAAAUAUGGAUAAAAUGAACACCAAGAACAGCAUUGAAUGGCAAAUGAGUUCAUGACAUGUAACAAAGAUACUUUCCAAGAAAUCUUCAGAUUAAACUGGAUCCAGUUUUCUUAACUCAUGAAUGGUUUUUGAGCACACAGUGGAUGGUGGACAUUUAUAUUAUGUCUCCUUACAAGCAGGCAACGUCAUACAGAAUCAGCAAGAGCUUCUUGCAGCCUUGAAAGGUA